GAACUCAGAGACCAAAUGUAGUGAUCUCUACUCACAUCCCCAGUGCUUCAGAAGAGCUGACCACAGCCCCAGCUCCAGGGAUGGGCUUUCCCUUUCCAGAACCAAGGCCCAGACCAGUGGCCUGUUCCAUCUUUUGGACGAUUGGGAAGUUCUACCUUGUUGCUGAGGACAUUUGGAGCUGCUUCCUGUGCUGAAUGGUUUCCACUUACCCAUCCAGAUUCACCCUCUACCUCCUUUACCCUGCUUUCUGCCCCAGGAUGCUGAGAAGUGUGGACCACAUCAACAGUAGUUAAUCCUUGCUCUCUUGCUCAGAGUUGGGUUCAGCCAGUUGAAGACAUUGGCAGGAGAAUAGCCCACAGGAGGAAAGAGGCUGGGGUAUUAAUAUCCUUAGCUCCUUCCCUGCCAAGACACAGCAUGUUGGCUGCAUUCCUCUACCAAAAGCCACAGCUCUUGCCAGGCAGCCCUGUUGUACAUCUAUAGCUCUUUUUUCUGGGUUCUGUUAACUGGUCUCUCUGUCUGCAAAUUCAAACAGGAAGGUAAGUGCUGUGAUCAGGGAAGCAGAGACUGAGAUGGGAGCAAAGAGAGGGGGCAUCCAACUCAGACUGGGGGAAUAAAGAGGGUCAGAAAAUGUUUACCUACAGGCUCCUGAAAUUGCAAGCCUUCUGCUUGUGAUCAAAACUAGUAAUUUUCCUUAUGUUUAGGCCAGAAGCAUCUGGGACCAGUGAACUGGUCUGGUUUCCAGCAAUUUUCCACAGGUCAAGGUGAGCUUGGGAGGGCAGGAAGCGGUUUUGCUCACCGCUAUGUCCUCAGAACCCAGCACACGGCAUGAGGCUGCCAAGCUGUACAA